rnacentral:rRNA from 1 species
CUUCGGGGUGGUGCCCUAGCGGCGAACGGGUGAGUAACACGUGGGCAACCUGCCCUCAGCUCUGGGAUAACUCCAAGAAAUUGGUGCUAAUACCGGAUGUGACCGCUGACCGCAUGGUCUGGUGGUGGAAAGAUUCAUCGGCUGAGGAUGGGCCCGCGGCCUAUCAGCUUGUUGGUGGGGUGAUGGCCUACCAAGGCGACGACGGGUAGCCGGCCUGAGAGGGUGACCGGCCACACUGGGACUGAGACACGGCCCAGACUCCUACGGGAGGCAGCAGUGGGGAAUAUUGCGCAAUGGGCGGAAGCCUGACGCAGCGACGCCGCGUGAGGGAUGACGGCCUUCGGGUUGUAAACCUCUUUCAGCAGGGACGAAGCGGAAGUGACGGUACCUGCAGAAGAAGCACCGGCCAACUACGUGCCAGCAGCCGCGGUAAUACGUAGGGUGCAAGCGUUGUCCGGAAUUAUUGGGCGUAAAGAGCUCGUAGGCGGUCUGUCACGUCGGCUGUGAAAACCCGAGGCUCAACCUCGGGCCUGCAGUCGAUACGGGCAAACUUGAGUGUUGCAGGGGAGACUGGAAUUCCUGGUGUAGCGGUGAAAUGCGCAGAUAUCAGGAGGAACACCGGUGGCGAAGGCGGGUCUCUGGGCAACAACUGACGCUGAGGAGCGAAAGCGUG